rnacentral:tRNA from 1 species
GGGAAUAUGGCUCAGUGGUAGAGUGUUUGUCUUUCAUGCAUAAGGCCCUGGGUUCAAUUCCUCAGCACCA